rnacentral:rRNA from 1 species
AGAGUUUGAUCCUGGCUCAGGGCGAACGCUAGCGGCGCGCCUAACACAUGCAAGUCGUGCGGGAAAGGGCUUCGGCCCUGGUACCGCGGCAGACGGGUGAGUAACACGUGAGCAACCUGUCCCCGGGUCUGGGAUAACCACCCGAAAGGGUGGCUAAUACCGGAUAAAGUCACCGGGCGCAAGCUCGGUGAUGAAAGGGGGCCUCUGCAUAGCAAGCUCCUGCCUGGGGAGGGGCUCGCGGCCCAUCAGCUAGUUGGUGGGGUAACGGCCCACCAAGGCUAUGACGGGUAGCCGGCCUGAGAGGGUGGUCGGCCACACGGGCACUGAGACACGGGCCCGACUCCUACGGGAGGCAGCAGUGGGGAAUCUUGGGCAAUGGGCGAAAGCCUGACCCAGCGACGCCGCGUGGGGGAAGAAGGCCUUCGGGUCGUAAACCCCUGUUCUGGGGGAAGAACCCUGAGCGGGUUAAUAGCCCGUUCAGGCUGACGGUACCCCAGGAGAAAGCCACGGCUAACUGCGUGCCAGCAGCCGCGGUAAUACGCAGGUGGCGAGCGUUGCCCGGAAUCACUGGGCGUAAAGGGUGCGUAGGCGGCAGGGCAAGUCGCGGGUUAAAGCCCGGGGCUUAACCCCGGAAGGGCCUGCGAUACUGCCUUGCUUGAGGGCCGGAGAGGCUGGCGGAAUUCCCGGUGUAGGGGUGAAAUCCGUAGAUAUCGGGAGGAACACCGGUGGGGAAGCCGGCCAGCUGGACGGUUCCUGACGCUGAGGCACGAAAGCGUGGGGAGCAAACCGGAUUAGAUACCCGGGUAGUCCACGCCGUAAACGAUGGGUGCUAGGUCUGGGGAGGAAACUCUCUGGGCCGAAGCUAACGCGUUAAGCACCCCGCCUGGGGAGUACGGCCGCAAGGCUGAAACUCAAAGGAAUUGACGGGGGCCCGCACAAGCGGUGGAGCACGUGGUUUAAUUCGAUGCAAAGCGAAGAACCUUACCUGGGCUUGACAUGCCAGGGUUGUACCCCGGUGGAAACACUGGGGGAGCGUGGGUUUUUACUCACGCGCUCUGGCACAGGUGCUGCAUGGCUGUCGUCAGCUCGUGCCGUGAGGUGUUGGGUUAAGUCCCGUAACGAGCGCAACCC